AACCUUCCAGAGCCAAUUUCUCUUCUUUGCGCCGUUCGAUUGGUUUCAAAUUUCUCAUGGACAUAGGAAAACAAGUCUUAUAUCCUCUCACAUAAUUUUUACUCCAAUCCAACUAUUAGAUUGCAUGAAAUCUUAAAAAACCCUCAUUGGACCUAAAAUUCUACUUUCUGAGACCUCAACUCACUUAAACCUCAAUAUCUCUCAGUUCAACCGUUAGAUCAAGCUCAAAUUCACGACAUGUAUUCAACACAACUAUAAACAUGAAUCCAAAAAAAUUCACCCGUAGAUCUGCAACAAAACUCUCGAAAUCACUCAAAAUAUAAACCCUAUUUUAUUUCAUAAAACCCAAGUCAUUCGAAAAAAACCUCAACUUUGCAAAGCUCUUACAAAUUCAUAUCAACUGAAAAUCACCCAAAAUCAAUGCCUAUAGAAACCCUAUCUAAUCUUCUCUCAAAGCCCUUUCUCCGAUUUGCCAAAGAAUUCCGGAGUCGUCAUCGAGACUCAGUUUUGUGUCUUAGGGUCUGAUUUCGACCCUGGUUCAUAACCGGCCCUCUCCGGGUAUCAAUAUCUAGUUUUUCUAAGCAAAUUUUUUCUAGAAUUUACUCUUAACUUUCUUUUAAAGAUUUUUGUAUCAUUUAUUUUCCCAAUCUACUUUGAUUUGCCUUACUUAUGGUACUACAAAAUAAGUAGAAGUCACCUUU
rnacentral:lncRNA from 1 species